rnacentral:rRNA from 1 species
UACAGAGGUGGCAAGCGUUGUUCGGAAUUACUGGGCGUAAAGGGCUCGUAGGCGGCCAACUAAGUCGGACGUGAAAUCCCUCGGCUCAACCGGGGAACUGCGUCCGAUACUGGAUGGCUUGAAUCCGGGAGAGGGAUGCGGAAUUCCAGGUGUAGCGGUGAAAUGCGUAGAUAUCUGGAGGAACACCGGUGGCGAAGGCGGCAUCCUGGACCGGCAUUGACGCUGAGGAGCGAAAGCCCAGGGGGAGCAAACGGG